GCGGAGGUAUGCUGUCAAAGACCUAUGGU
rnacentral:sRNA from 1 species